rnacentral:misc_RNA from 1 species
GAAAAACCCUAACCCUAGGCGGCGGCGGCGGAGAUGGUGUCGGGAUCCGGGAUAUGUGUGAAGAGGGUGGUGGUGGACGCGCGCCACCACAUGCUGGGCCGGCUGGCAUCGAUCAUCGCAAAGGAGCUGCUGAACGGGCAGCGGGUAGUGGUGGUACGAUGCGAGGAGAUCUGCCUCUCCGGCGGGCUGGUGAGGCAGAAGAUGAAGUAUCUACGCUUUCUCCGGAAGCGGAUGAACACGAAGCCGUCGCACGGGCCGAUACAUUUUCGAGCUCCUGCGAAGAUCCUCUGGCGGACAAUCCGAGGGAUGAUCCCUCACAAGACGAAGCGGGGUGCGGCGGCGCUGGCGAGGCUGAAGGCGUACGAGGGUGUUCCGCCGCCUUAUGACAAGAUUAAGAGGAUGGUCAUUCCUGAUGCGCUCAAGGUUUUGAGGCUUCAGCCUGGUCAUAAGUACUGCUUGCUGGGACGACUCUCAACUGAGGUUGGAUGGAGCCACUAUGAUACCAUCAAGGAAUUGGAGGAGAAGAGGAAGCAGAGAGCUAAGGUUGCUUUUGAAAGGAAGAAAGAGCUUGCGAAAAUGCGCUCCAAGGCCGAGAAAACUGUUGAAGAGACCCUGAGCCCACAUCUAGAGAUCCUGGCACCAAUAACGUACUGAGUCAUUUUCAUUUUAUCGGAAUCCAGUUUUGUGAUUUUUUUCUAUCUGAGAGUAUUUUCCUAGUAUCUGGUUUAUCUUUGAUGAUUGUGAGAUUGUUUUAUGGUAGGUUACUCUACUAUAAAGUAUUUGUUUUUGCUGAGUUAUUUAAUAUUUUAGUUGUUUUGGAUGUUGGAAAUCCUCCUUUAGGUCCUAGCAUGUGGUUGG